GUGCUCGCUUCGGCAGCACAUGUAUUAAAAUUGGGACAAUACAGAGAAGAUUAGCAUGGCCCCUUGCGCAAGGAUGACAUGCAUAUUCGUGAAGGGUUCCAUUUUUUU
ensembl:snRNA U6 U6 spliceosomal RNA